rnacentral:rRNA from 1 species
GAGUUUGUCAGUUGGUCGGGCUUCACUGUCCGUAUUGACUUGAUGAAUUCUUACCUUCUGAAUAACCAGCAUGCUAUUAAGUUAGUGCGUUGGGGAAGCAGAUCUAUUACCUUGAAAAAAUUAGAGUGCUUAAAGCAGGCUUUUGCUUGAAUAGAUUAGCAUGGAAUAAUAAAAUAGGACGGCAUGGUUCUAUUUUGUUGGUUUCUAGGAUCGCCGUA